GCCUUCGUGGUGCAAUGGUCAGCACACUGAGCCGGUAAUUCAGAGGUCCGUGGUUCGAUCCCCGGCGAAGGCA
rnacentral:tRNA from 1 species